rfam:Tupaia chinensis contig106408, whole genome shotgun sequence.
GUGCUCACUUCGGCAGCACAUGUACUAACAUUGGAACUAUACAGAGAUUAGCAUGGGCCCUGCACAAGAAUGACAUGCAAAUUUGUGAAGUGUUCCAUAUUUUU